AGAUACGGCCCAGACUCCUACGGGAGGCAGCAGUGGGGAAUUUUGCGCAAUGGGGGCAACCCUGACGCAGCAACGCCGCGUGCGGGACGAAGGCGUCCGCGUCGUAAACCGCUUUCAGCGGGGAACACCUAACGAGGGUACCCGCAGAAGAAGCCCCGGCUAAAUACGUGCCAGCAGCCGCGGUAAUACGUAUGGGGCGAGCGUUAUCCGGAUUCAUUGGGCGUAAAGCGCGCGUAGGCGGAGCGCUAAGCGGGACCUCUAACCCGAGGGCUCAACCCCCGGCCGGGUCCCGAACUGGCGCUCUCGAGUGCGGUAGGGGAGAGCGGAAUUCCCGGUGUAGCGGUGGAAUGCGCAGAUAUCGGGAAGAACACCGACGGCGAAGGCAGCUCUCUGGGCCGAAACUGACGCUGAGGCGCGAAAGCUGGGGGAGCGAACAGGAUUAGAUACCCUGGUAGUCCCAGCCGUAAACGAUGGGCGCUAGGUGUGGGGGAUGAGAUCCCCCGUGCCGCAGCCAACGCAUUAAGCGCCCCGCCUGGGGAGUACGGCCGCAAGGCUAAAACUCAAAGGAAUUGACGGGGGCCCGCACAAGCAGCGGAGCAUGUGGCUUAAUUCGAAGCAACGCGAAGAACCUUACCAGGGCUUGACAUGCAGGUGAAGCGGCGGAGACGCCGUGGCCGAGAGGAGCCUGCACAGGUGGUGCAUGGCUGUCGUCAGCUCGUGUCGUGAGAUGUUGGGUUAAGUCCCGCAACGAGCGCAACCCCCGCCGCGUGUUGCCAUCGGGUGAUGCCGGGAACCCACGCGGGACCGCCGCCGUCAAGGCGGAGGAGGGCGGGGACGACGUCAAGUCAUCAUGCCCCUUAUGCCCUGGGCUGCACACGUGCUACAAUGGCCGGUACAGAGGGAUGCCACCCCGCGAGGGGGAGCGGAUCCCGGAAAGCCGGCCCCAGUUCGGAUUGGGGGCUGCAACCCGCCCCCAUGAAGUCGGAGUUGCUAGUAAUCGCGGAUCAGCAUGCCGCGGUGAAUGCGUUCCCGGGCCUUGUACACACCGCCCGUCACACCACCCGAGUCGUCUGCACCCGAAGUCGCCGGCCCAACCGAGAGGGGGGAGGCGCCGAAGGUGUGGAGGGUGAGGGGGGUGAAGUCGUAACAAGGUAGCCGUACCGGAAGGUGCGGCUG
rnacentral:rRNA from 1 species